UACGAAGGGGGCUAGCGUUGUUCGGAAUUACUGGGCGUAAAGCGCGCGCAGGCGGCUCUUCAAGUCAGGGGUGAAAGCCCAGAGCUCAACUCUGGAACUGCCUUUGAGACUGAAGAGCUUGAGUACGGGAGAGGUGAGUGGAAUUCCCAGUGUAGAGGUGAAAUUCGUAGAUAUUGGGAGGAACACCAGUGGCGCAAGCGGCUAUCUGGACUGACAUUGACGCUGAGGCACGAAAGCGUGGGGAUCAAACAGG
rnacentral:rRNA from 1 species